AGAUUGAACGCUGGCGGCAGGCCUAACACAUGCAAGUCGAGCGGUAGAGAGGUGCUUGCACCUCUUGAGAGCGGCGGACGGGUGAGUAAUGCCUAGGAAUCUGCCUAGUGGUGGGGGAUAACGUUCGGAAACGGACGCUAAUACCGCAUACGUCCUACGGGAGAAAGCGGGGGACCUUCGGGCCUCGCGCCAUUAGAUGAGCCUAGGUCGGAUUAGCUAGUUGGUGAGGUAAUGGCUCACCAAGGCGACGAUCCGUAACUGGUCUGAGAGGAUGAUCAGUCACACUAGGAACUGAGACACGGUCCAGACUCCGUACGGGAGCAG
rnacentral:rRNA from 1 species